AUGAGAAUAUUGAAUUUUGUUUUCCUUGAGCUAAUUUACACAAUUUUUAUGUACAUAAUCUUGAUCGAAACAUUAGUUUUGUUGUUGAUGGCAGGCUUAGAAAAGUGUACUGUUAUUUGGACUUGUGAAGAGUGCAGUGACUACUUUACAAGGUCAUCAGCUAACUCAAAAGGCUGGCGAGAGGUUUUCAGCUCAUUGCCUGGAGAGAUUGUUCUUGCUUCUUUUGAUGGAUUUGGUAUGUGGUCCACUUUUUAUGUCAUACUUGAGGCCUAUACACUAAAAAUAGUUAGUUACUGCUGCGCUUCUGCUUGUAUAAGGUAG
rnacentral:rRNA from 1 species